CGACCGGCGCACGGGUGAGUAACACGUAUCCAACCUUCCGUUUACUCAGGGAUAGCCUUUCGAAAGAAAGAUUAAUACCUGAUAGUAUGGUGAGAUUGCAUGAUAGCACCAUUAAAGAUUUAUUGGUAAACGAUGGGAUGCGUUCCAUUAGGUAGUAGGCGGGGUAACGGCCCACCUAGCCGACGAUGGAUAGGGGUUCUGAGAGGAAGGUCCCCCACAUUGGAACUGAGACACGGUCCAAACUCCUACGGGAGGCAGCAGUGAGGAAUAUUGGUCAAUGGGCGAGAGCCUGAACCAGCCAAGUAGCGUGAAGGAUGAAGGUCCUACGGAUUGUAAACUUCUUUUAUACGGGAAUAAAGUAUCCUACGUGUAGGAUUUUGUAUGUACCGUAUGAAUAAGCAUCGGCUAACUCCGUGCCAGCAGCCGCGGUAAUACGGAGGGUGCGAGCGUUAUCCGGAUUUAUUGGGUUUAAAGGGAGCGCAGACGGGAGAUUAAGUCAGUUGUGAAAGUUUGCGGCUCAACCGUAAAAUUGCAGUUGAUACUGGUUUCCUUGAGUGCAGUUGAGGCAGGCGGAAUUCGUGGUGUAGCGGUGAAAUGCUUAGAUAUCACGAAGAACUCCGAUUGCGAAGGCAGCUCAC
rnacentral:rRNA from 1 species